rnacentral:lncRNA from 1 species
AUUCCGGCCUCGAAAUAAAACUAGAGCCCCACUUGAGAAUGGGGGGGGGGGAAUACAAAAGGCUACACCUUCGCUAUGGGCGAAACUAACGACAAGCUGUUCGAGAGCCUCAACGGCUGCUGGGACUUCUUUUGGUUGUGUGCGCGCCCUGCUGCGUUGGCCUACAGCUAGCAGGAAUGAAAUUCAUCGACACACUUUUUAUGAUUGUUGUAUACUUUUCCCACGUCUCUCUUUCUAGAAAGAUGGUCAUCAAAAAGUCGGUUCGGCUAUAAUACAAAAGAAGUCGACGGAAAACUAGGUUCUGCUGUCUGAUGAUCGACUAUACCCAUCUGGCCUGCCGACAGCCCAUCCUCAUCUUUAAAACGGUUGAUCAUCUUAUUCAUUCAUUCAUUCCUUCAUUCUUUGUGUGUGUAUGUGUGUGUGCAAGAUUUUAAUGUACAGUAUUUUGAGUUGAAGAAAGCGCUACGCCCAAGAUAUUCAUCGCAGAUCGGCCUCAAACUGUACACGCGUGCGUGCAGCAACGUCCGUAAUGGUCAUAAGAACUUCACGGGUACAAACAACAACGACGGUGAAAUGGAAGAGAAAUCCCAUCCAAUCAUCCUGUCGGUGUACAACUUCUGUUCCAACCGUGUUAUUCUCUUCCCUAACCAUACUACUGUCGGUAUGUGAAGCACAAAAUAGAUACACACGCACUCUCUCUCUUCAAGAGUCUCCCCCCGGAAAAAAGAAAAUGCUGUUCAUCUUAUGAUAUCUAGACUUCGCAUUUUCAAUGAGAAACAAGCAGGAAAUACCUUGAGACUACUUUUGUUUUUUCCUCAAAAGAUCUGAUUAGGUUGGAUAUACUAAAAACGAGGAAGAAAAGAGUGGAGGCAACGCAUUUUACAAGGACGGUUUUUGUCGUCUAAUAAGGCGCGUCUGAAUAUCCGAAAUUCCGAUAGUUUGCACGUAUUGGGCGGGGUCGCAUGGAGUAAAGAUGACCUCGAGUGAUUUCCCGUUUAAAGAGUGAUUAUUUUCCCGAACCGAAAACAUGCGUCAUGAGAAUAGAAAGGUUGUAGAGUCGGUACGUUAUCUGGACAUUGAUGGACAGCAUUUUGACUUUCGCCAAGGCGUCACAAGGCCACACAACCAGUGACGCACAUUACAAUAGCUAACCUAAUCGGUCCGGAGAAUACUUGGAAAAUGUCAAGUCUCUUGCAAAUGAACAAAAUCAAAAGGACUUACCUUGCAACAGCGACGUAUGCAGGACGGAAGCAAAUCCAACUGGGUGUAGAUCUGAUUUGAAAAAAAAAAAACCAGCGAAAACAGAUGAGAAAACAAAUGAGUUUGAUGUCACCAUCAAAAUAAACAUUUAAAAAAAACUAACCGGUAGACAAUAAAACAAUUUUGUAGAGUGGGUAGUAUUAUUUUAGACUGCCGGUCGCAACGGCUGACCGAUGACUUGUGAGCCUGUCUGGUCAGUAACGCGGGAUCAAGUGGAGAUCUGGUGACUGGGACAUCAGGUGAGUAAAGAUUCGGAAUAGAAAAAA